rnacentral:rRNA from 1 species
AUUGAACGCUGGCGGCAGGCUUAACACAUGCAAGUCGAACGAGUGGCGGACGGGUGAGUAAUGCUUGGGAAUCUAGCUUAUGGAGGGGGAUAACUACGGGAAACUGUAGCUAAUACCGCGUACCAUAGGAUGAGCCCAAGUGGGAUUAGGUAGUUGGGGAGGUAAAGGCUCACCAAGCCGACGAUCUCUAGCUGGUCUGAGAGGAUGACCCGGCACACUGGGGACGGGACACGGCCCAGACGCCCACGGGGGGCAGGAGGGGGGAAUAUUUGGGCAUGGGUGCAACCUGACGGAGCCAUGGCGCGUGGAAGAAGAAGGCCUUCGGGGUGUAAAGUUAUUUUGGUAGCGAAGCGUUAACUACAGAAGAAGCACCGGCUAACUCCGUGCCAGCAGCCGCGGUAAUUC